GGAGACGUCCUGUUUCGUAAACAAGACUUUGUUCUCCAAUCUUAAGAAAUUUGCAACGGAGCAUCAAGAAAUGUCUGCAGAUGUCAUAAAAAAAGCUUUCUUGAAAACGGAUGAGGAGUUCUUGUCACUUGUGAAGCAACAAUGGUUUGAGAAGCCACAACUUGCAUCUGUGGGAUCUUGUUGUUUGGCAGGCGUAAUCUGCAAUGGACUACUAUAUGUUGCCAAUGCCGGAGAUUCACG
rnacentral:misc_RNA from 1 species